UGUCGACUUAAGAAAAAAUGCACAAUGUGAGAGUUGCGAGUUAAGUUUUAUUUGGGGCAAAAUGAGGACUGCAGCUCGGGAGACAGCAUUUCCGAUAGCUCUGAGAAACUGCUCCAGAGAGGUAGGGGGGAAGGACUUCCCUGGUGUGCAGUGGUUAAGAAUCUGCCUGCCAAUGCAGGGGACAUGGGUUUGAGCCCUGGUCUGGGAAGAUCCCACGUGCCUCGGAGCAACUAAGCCCAUGCACCACAGCUACUUAGCCUGCGCUCUAGAGCCCGCGAGCCACAACUACUGAGCCCACAUGCCUAGAGCCCCCGUGCUCCACAACAAGAGAAGCCACCACAAUGAGAAGCCUGCACACCACAACAAAGAGUAGCCCCACCCGCUGCAACUAGAGAAAGCCCACGUGCAGCAACAAAGACCCAACACGGCCAAAAAUAAAUGAACAAAUAAUAAUAAAUAAAUAA